UACGUAGGGUGCAAGCGUUAAUCGGAAUUACUGGGCGUAAAGCGUGCGCAGGCGGUUUUGUAAGUCUGAUGUGAAAUCCCCGGGCUCAACCUGGGAAUUGCAUUGGAGACUGCAAGGCUAGAAUCUGGCAGAGGGGGGUAGAAUUCCACGUGUAGCAGUGAAAUGCGUAGAGAUGUGGAGGAACACCGAUAGCGAAGGCAGCCCCCUGGGUCAAGAUUGACGCUCAUGCACGAAAGCGUGGGGAGCAAACAGG
rnacentral:rRNA from 1 species